GCCGCAGCUCCGCGGCGCCCGGUGCCGUCCCCUCGCCGCGCAGCCCGGGCACGGCUCCGCCACGGCCAGCGCAGCCCGGCUGCUUUUAGCAGCAGCGCUGCUGAGGCCUAGGGGGGGAAAAUGAAAGGAAAAGGAGGCUGUAGCAGCGGGAGCCGCCGCACCCCGGCGGGAGGAGCGGGAUCGGGGAAGCUUGGCAGGCGGGAGGGCGGCCUCUGCCGCGGCGCUGCCCGGAGCUUCUCCGCGGCGGUCUCCACCUGCCCGCGGGGGGAGCGGAGCCGGCUCCGGUGCCGGUCCUGGCCCCUUCGCCCUCGCUGGGCGCCCCGCGGGCAGCGGCUCCGCGCUCGGGCCGCCCUGGCAGCGGCGCGGGCUCCUCUCCCAUCCUGAGGACAAGGUCAAGGAUGAAGGGUCAAUGUCAAGUUGUCUUAACGGUGGAAGGCGACCGUCCACGGCAGAGCUCCUUGCUUCCCGCGUUUCUGGUGUCCUUGAUUGAUUCGAAAGUGCCAUUUUGAAGGGGAACCGCGCCCGGGCGCCAAGAAGACGCGAGGACUUCGCUUUCCCUUCCCAGGGCGAAGAAGUGAGGAUGGUACAGGACGGGGAUGUCACCGCCACUCUGCCUAACAGUGUUUAGUGUCUUAAAGUGCUUUAAUGGCUGGAUUGAUUUAGGUUUCAGGGACCCUCGGAGGACUGCGUUCUGCCAAGCGAACCCUCCGAGAGUGGCGUUUCCGUGCGGCCUCAGCCCUCCCGGAGCGCCGCCGCCGCCGCCAGACACCCAGCCCAGGCAGCAGCGUCGGCAGCAGGCUCUCAACCAUCCCCUGGGCUUCUCUGGGGAUCUCGGAGCCUCCUGAAGGUACAGCCGAGCUUCCCCUGCGCCCCUCUCCGCACGCAGCGCUUGUCCGCGGUGGCGCCCGGCUCCCCCCGCAGCUCGCCCCGGGGCCAGCGGGGCAGGGAGCUGGCAGAGCCCGCGAAACCCCCUGUGACCCCCGCGGAUGGACCAGAGAAACAAUAAAGAACGCUGCUUCCUAA